rnacentral:rRNA from 1 species
UUUCUCUUACGGGGGGCAGCAGUGGGGAAUAUUGCACAAUGGGGGAAACCCUGAUGCAGCAACGCCGCGUGAGUGAAGAAGUAUUUCGGUAUGUAAAGCUCUAUCAGCAGGGAAGAAGAAAGACGGUACCUGACUAAGAAGCCCCGGCUAACUACGUGCCAGCAGCCGCGGUAAUACGUAGGGGGCAAGCGUUAUCCGGAUUUACUGGGUGUAAAGGGCGUGUAGCCGGGCUGACAAGUCAGAUGUGAAAUCCGGGGGCUCAACCCCCGAACUGCAUUUGAAACUGUUGGUCUUGAGUAUCGGAG